CUGCUUUAUUGCUCUCUUUACUCGUUUUGUUGCCUCUUUUUUCGGUGCAGCCGACUGACUUGGAUGAUGAUUACCAUGGCAACAGGAGGAAGCUCAGAAGAUUCAAAGCGGCGGUUUCAGAACGAGCCGCUGUCGCCAUGUUGAUGAGGUCUCCGCGUAUUUCACUCCACGACUCCGAAAAUAGACACUUUCCGCCACAGACACAGAGAGAGCUCGACGAGUCGGCCGCGGCCAUCAUGCCUUCCCUCCAGAAACACCAGCAGCAGCAGCAGCAGCAGCAGGAGUAGCAGCGACACGACGAGAUGUGGAGGCAGACGAAGGCACGUACACACCGGGGACUGUCGCUCGCUCCGGCAGCCACCCGUCAGCAUCCCCUGGACACCACCGGUGCCCAAGCUGGGGUCCGGGGGCCACCUGGGGGUCCAUGAAAACUGCGAAACCAAGCGGAACCAAGGCGCGCUUUCAUCCACCUAACACCAACCCCUCAUGUCCGCUCUCACCACAUUAUGAUUAUUAUUAGUAGUAGUAGUAUUAACAACUUUAAAAGGCUCGGAGCAGAUUCGCCAUUCAACUCAUGCAAAACCAACAGGUUCCGAGCAUGAAUGAAGUCUGGGCGUGUCCUCUCCAGAUGCGCCUAUAUUGUCAGUCUCCUUUCUUUCAUGCCAAAAAUAGACCCAGACCUUUCCAGUGUAGUUCUUUUUUUCCCUCUUCUCCCGAAACGUCUUCACCUGACCCUCUUCUCCUCGCAUCACAUGCUAUAAACAGAAAGCCAUUUUCCUUCUCCACACCA